GCCGGGCAUGGUGGUGCAUGCCUGUAAUCCCAGCUACUAGGGAGGCUGAGGCAGGAGAAUUGCUUGAACCCAGGAGGUAGAGGUUGUAGUGAGCUGAGAUGGCACCAUUGCACUCCAGCCUGGGAGACAGAGCGAGACUCUGUCUCAA
ensembl:misc_RNA Metazoa_SRP Metazoan signal recognition particle RNA